rnacentral:rRNA from 1 species
UUCCAGACUCCUACGGGAGGCAGCAGUGAGGAAUAUUGGUCAAUGGACGAGAGUCUGAACCAGCCAAGUAGCGUGAAGGAUGACUGCCCUAUGGGUUGUAAACUUCUUUUAUAAAGGAAUAAAACGAGGCACGUGUGCCUUUUUGCAUGUACUUUAUGAAUAAGGAUCGGCUAACUCCGUGCCAGCAGCCGCGGUAAUACGGAGGGUGCGAGCGUUAAUCGGAAUUUCUGGGCGUAAAGCGCUCGUAGGCGGUAUGUCAAGUCAAGGGUGAAAUCCCCGCGCUCAACGUGGGUACUGCCUUUGAAACUGGCAAACUGGAGUGUGUGAGAGGAUAGUGGAAUUCCAGGUGUAGGAGUGAAAUCCGUAGAUAUCUGGAGGAACAUCAGUGGCGAAGGCGACUAUCUGGCACAUAACUGACGCUGAGGAGCGAAAGCGUGGGUAGCAAACAGGAUUAGAUACCCGGGUA